UAGAGGAUAGAAUUGGGUGGUGUGAGGGGGGAGAGAGGUGAGGAGAGGAGAGUUGAGCCCAUGUGGCGCAAGGGAGCGAAGAGAGAAGAUUAAUCCCUGUUCAAGGCGCAAGCGGUAGUCCGGAUGGCCCCUAUGCAAGGACAGUCCGAACACGGACAGGUGUUGUAAAGAGUGAGCGGUAGA